CACGCAGAGUUUGAUCCUGGCUCAGGACGAACGCUGGCGGCGUGCCUAAUGCAUGCAAGUCGGACGCAGCGUGCUUGCACGGCUGCGUGGCGCACGGCUGAGGAACACGUGGGUAAUCAACCCCGGUGUGGGGGAUACCCCGGAGAAAUCCGGGACAAUCCCGCAUACGCUCUGUGGAGGAAAGCCUUCGGGCGCACUGGGACGAGCCUGCGGCCCAUCAGGUGGUUGGGGGGGUAACGGCCUCCCAAGCCGAUGACGGGUUCCUGGUCUGAGAGGACGACCAGGCAGACUGGGACUGAGACACGGCCCAGACUCCUACGGGAGGCAGCAGCAAGGAAUUUUCCCCAAUGGGCGCCAGCCUGAGGGAGCAACGCCGCGU
rnacentral:rRNA from 1 species